rnacentral:misc_RNA from 1 species
AAGGAGAAUUACCUACUGUUUAAUUUUGAGGGUUUGUUUUUACGAAUACUCAAAAUUAGCACUUUUAGCAACGGGAUUUAUCCGUUGGCGCCGUGCUUUAGCACUUUGAAAACUGCAUAUAUAUUUAGUGAUAUGACAUCUAAUUUGUAAUAUAUAAAGCUGAUAACUUUUAAAAAUUAUCAAGUUGAUAGACUUUAAUCUAUCAAACCUUUUUAAC